UGGAUGGAAAAGAGGCCAGUGUACGCACCACUCACCAUUUUACACCUGCACAUUCACAGAAGAGACAAAUUCCACACAAAAUAGAGACACACACAGAGACAGAAGAAAACCAACUGACACUCAGCAUCUUGAAAAGGAAGAAAACAAAUAUUCCAGCUAGCAGUGCAGAACUCUGCUUGAUCUCUUGCCAGAAAAUAGAAGUCAGUUUAACUUAUGUUGCUGAUGACUAGAAAGUCCAAGAUGGAGGAAGUACACCUGAACGACCAUUUGUGCUGUACUAUGACAUGGUAGAAAGCAUCAUAUGGAAUUGGUGUAUAUUGCAACCUAGCCAACAUUUGAAGGUGUCUUGUCCUCAUCUCAUGUGCCCCCUAGCAACGAUAUUAUCAACAAGAACUUCAUUUUCUUUAUAACCAAUAUGCUCAAGUCCAGAGACAUGAUCUGAAGAAAUUCUGAAGCAGCAGUGCUUUCUAAUGACUUCUAGGCAAUUCCAUUAUUUGCAUUGGUCAUUUUGUAGCCACUGCUGUCACAUCUUCCUGCUGAGUGUUUGCUUAAUCCGAGUGAAGAUACCUUUGGAGAGGGAAGCACGGACUUCAUUAUGGAUCAGUGAUACAUUGAGUCUGCAGGGGAGAAAUGGAAAACAGAGGCUCCUUAAGUUAAAUCCAUGUGAACACCAAAAACCACAAAUAUAUUUGGAUAUGUGUCACAUCCACCUCAUCAAAUGCUGUGUAAUACAGAUGGAAGAUAUCACCCAGACAUCUAUAAUUUUAUCCAAAAAUGACACUAUAAAUGGAACUAGCGGCCCAGGAUACAGAUACAGUUAUGUAGCACCAACUCAUAGACAGAAAACUAAGGAUUUCCUUAACUAUCCCCAACAUAAAUAAUAAUAUCUUGGUGACUGUUACCUAAAUAAAAAAGUUACAGUAGAAAAUCAUUGUGUUUGGAGCUGUGACGAAAGGACGGACCAUCUAGAGACUGCCAUAUCCAGGGAUCCACCCCAUAAUCAGCUUCCAAAUGCUGACACCAUUGCAUACACUAGCAAGAUUUUGCUGAAAGGACCCAGAUAUAGCUGUCUCUUGUGAGACUAUGCUGGGGCCUAGCAAACACAGAAGUGGAUGCUCACAGUCAGCUAGUGGAUGGAUCACAGGGCCCCCAAUGGAGGAGCUAGAGAAAGUAUCCAAGGAGCUAAAGAGAUCUGCAACCCUAUCGGUGGAACAACAUUAUGAACUAACCAGUACCCCGGAGCUCUUGACUCUAGCUGCAUAUGUAUCAAAAGAUGGCCUAGUCGGCCAUCACUGGGAAGAGAGGCCCAUUGGACACGCAAACUUUAUAUGCCCCAGUACAGAGGAACGCCAGGGCCAAAAAGUGGGAGUGGGUGGGUAGGGGAAAAUAGAUUAUCUUUUCAUACAGUAUAUCCUGAUUAUAGUUUCUUCUCCCUCUACUCCUCUCAGUACCUUGCCACCUUUCCUUCCCUCCAAAUAUAACCCCUUUCUGUCUUUUACUAGAAAAUAACAGGUUUCUAAGAGAUAACAACCAAACAUGACAAAAUAAAAUACAAUAUGAUGAAGCAAAAAUUGUUAUAUUGAAAUUGGGCAUGGCUACCCAACAUGAGGAGAAAAGUACCAAGAGUAGGUACAAGCAUCAGAGAAAUACUCGUUAUUAUCAUCAGGAGUACCAUAAAAAUACUAAUCUAAUAGCUAUAAUAUAUAUGCAGAGAAUCUGGUACAGUCACAUAUAGGCCUGUGCUUUCUGCUUCAAUCUCUGUGACCUCCUAUGUCCUUUGCUUAGUUGAUCUAAGUGGCAUUGCAGAAAAGCUUCGUUUGACAGUGGGAAACAGUCAAACUAGGGAAUCAUAACUUACUAAGGUUCUGAAAAUGAGUUAUUGUUAAGUGCUUGGCUCCAAAAGAUACAUGUAUGACAUAUCCCCUGCAACCCAUGGAACAUAGCAGAAGAGAGGAUGGAUGGAUGGACAGUGAGAAUCAAAGGACAUAUUGAGAUGUCAUCUGGAUAUGACAUGUCUAUUGUAUCCAAGAACACACAACCACUGCAACUGCCUGAAUCAGCCCUGAACCAAAAAAUACUGUGGUGAGGGGUAUAUAAGAGUAAGAGGGUUAUUAUGGGAAAAUGAAGGGGGUUGGCAGGAAUGGGAAGAGGAGAGGAGAAGGUAAUUGAGUAUUAGUGUUAUCAAAUCACAUUUUUUUUACUUUUCUUUUUUAUUAGAUAUUUUCUUUAUUUACAUUUCAAAUGUUAUUCCCUUUCUUAUUUUCCCCUCAGAAAACCCCCUAUCACUUCCCCCCUCCACCUGCUCACCAACCCACCCACUCCAGCUUCCUGGCCCUGGCAUUCACCUAUACUGGGGAACAUUCACAGGAUGAAGGGCCGCUCUUUCCAUUGAUGACUGACUAGUCCAUUCUCUGCUACAUAUACAGCUAGAGCCAUGAGUCCCACCAUGUGUUUUCUUUGGUUGAUGGUUUAGUCCCAGGGAGGUCUGGGGGUACUGGUUAGUUCAUAUUGUUGUUCCUCCUAUGGGAAUGCAAACUCCUUCAGCUCUUUGAGUGCUUUUCCUAGCUCCUUCAUUAGGGACCCAGUGCUCUGUCCAAUGAAUGGCUGUGAGCAUCCACUUCUGUAUUUCUCAGGCACUGGCAGAGCCUCUCAGGAGACAGCUAUAUCAGGUUCUUGUUACCAAGCUCUUGUUGUCAUCCACAAUAGUGCCUGGGUUUGAUGGUUGUAUAUAGGAUGGAUACAGAGGUAUGGCAGUCUCUGGAUGAUCAUUCCUACAGUUUCUGCUCCACAUUUUGACUUUGUAACUCCUUCCAUGGGUGUUUUGUUCCCCCUUCUAAGAAGGAUCAAAGUGUCCAUACUUUGGUCUUCCUUCUUCUCGAGUUUCAUGUGUUUUAUGAAUUGUAUCUUGGGUAUUCCAAGCUUCUGGGCUAAUUUCCAUUUAUCAGUGAGUGCAUAUCAUGUGUGUUCUUUUGUGAUUGGGCUACCUCACUCAGGAUAAUAUCCUCCAGAUCCAUCCAUUUGCUAAGAAUUUCAUAAAUUAAUUGUUUUUAAUAGCUGAGUCGCACUCCAUUGUGUAAAUGUACUACAUUUUCUGUAUCCAUUCCUCUGUUGAGGGACAUCUGGGUUCUUUCCAGCUCCUGGCUAUUAUAAAUACAGAGGUAAAUAAAGUAUUCUCAACUGAGAAAUACUGAAUGGCUGAGAAGCACCUAAAGAAAUGUUAAACAUCCUUAGUCAUCAGGGAAAUGCAAUUCAAAACAACCCUGAGAUUCUACCUCACACCAGUCAGAAUAGCUAAGAUAAAAAACUCAGGUGACAGCAGAUGAUGGCUAGAAUGUAGAGAAAGAGGAACAUUCCUCCAUUGAUGGUGGGAUUGCAAGCUGGUACAACCACUCUGGAAAUCAGUUUGGCAGUUCCUCAGAAAAUUGGACAUAGUACUACCAGAGGAUCCAGAAAUACCACUCCUGGGCAUAUAACCAGAAGAUGCUCCAACAUGUAACAAGGACACAUGCUCCACUAUGUUCAAAUCACAUUUAAAGCAAGUAUGUAUGAUACUGUCAAAAUAUAUAUUAAUAUACGUUUUAGUCUGAAGGUGAGGAGAAAAAGCAACAUUCAGGGAAGAAAAGCGAACACCAUUGACAAUGAAUAUGGAUUUCUCUGAGAGUUGUGGAAAUGAGACAUAUCCUAAUGUGAAUAUGGGAUCUCUAGGGGAGAGUUGCAACUGUUCUAAUAUUAGUAACAUUCUCAAUUUUGGCAGUUCUCAUUACAUCCCAAAACACUACUAAGAAACUUGUGGGGUUUUUUCUUCUUCUUUCUCCAUUUGACAGGUUUGGUGACUCUGGUGGAGGUCCCUUGGAUAGAACUAUAAUGUGAUAAAGUAAAAACAGAAGCCACUGGAGUUGCACAAGAGCUUUGGACGAGGUCAACACCUUGACUUCAGAGUGGUGAAAAUCUAUCAGGGAAGCUGAAAUUUACGUGAGAAGCAGCUGAGAAGAAACUAGUUGGGCAUCUAGAUGCGAAUCCUAAGAGCUGCAAUAACAACUUGACAGGCAAGAUAACCCCACUGGGUAAUGGUGUCAUGGGUGACAUGGGGGUAACCCACAGUUUUCUGAUUGGAUUUGAGACCUGUUCCACAGCAGUGAUUUCUUGUCUAAUACUGUAAAUCCUGGUCAAAGUUCCAUGGCUGCAAAAGUCCUAGACCCUAUUGAGGGUUCUAUUACUGUUGUUCUACAAAAUAGUCAUACUGUCAAACUGUCUUCUAAAUGUUUAUCUUUAUAUCCAUAGAUUAAUGCUACCCUCAAUCUUCUCAGAGAAGCUUCUGGGUGCAGUGGGUAACCGUCCAUUCAGGAACUCCUAACCAGUCACUGUUCAGAGGAUAAAUGACUGUUGAUCCUUAGACCUAAGUGUGGCAUCUGUAUUAUUCUCCAAAGAAAAGGGAACUUUGCAGGAAAGGGAGAGUAAAAAAUCAGAGGGUGGGGAAGAGUUUUAUGAAAUUCUUCUGGAUACAAAUAAGACCUACAAACUUACAACUGCUCUGAUUAGCUCUACAAUAUCUGCCCAAAAUGAGCACACCAAUGUUCCAUCAUGGAUGAAAGAUGAACUCCUGAGGUCCCACUGUUAGCAGAGGAGGAUUAUUGACAGUCAAUGGUUAAUGGAGAAUGGGAGUCAUUUUCUUCAAUGGGGUAGUCCCUGAUGUCUGUGCUUCAGUAAAUAACCCUCACAUAUAUUCAUACAAGUAAUUCCAGUUAAAUCCAGUGGGUCAAGAAAACUCAAACACAGACAUGAAGUUAGAAGAACACUUGAGAAGAAACAGGGGUUCAGCAGAAAUUGGAGAAAAUUAGAGAGUGUAAUGAGUUUGUGUGAAAAUAAUCAAAAUAUAUUACAUACAUCUAUAGAGUCAGUAAAGAUUAAAAGAAUUAGCAAUCAAAACUGUAAAUUUAAAUUACUUAUCCUCUUAUUUGUACUUGGAAUAAUAAGGUUAAUAUUUACACUUACUUUUUGAAUGUUAAGCUUAUAAGUACAUAAAUUGUUUAGAAUUAUGUAUGGCUCUCAAAAAGCAUAAAGUGUCACAUAUAACCAGAGCUCAGCUAGGUAGUUUUUUUUUUAUUAUUUUUUUAAACUAUGAAUUUAGUGCUUUGCUUUUGCUCCUGAAAGAUGAAUUUAGCAGAAAUUAAUUUUAACUUAGGUGUCUAUUAUAUUAGAUUUGUUUUUAUGCAUCUUAGGGUGUUUUUUUUUUCUUCUUCCCCCUCCUUGCUUUCUCUUCCUCCUUCUCCUUGUGUUUGGUUUCAUUCAGGAUAUUAAAGCAUGCUAUUAUUACAUCAAGAGGAAUGCUGGAGUUGAUUCUUUCAAGCUCACAGAAGCUGCUUGUCAGCCAGUAUCACAAGUCAGGGCAUAAUUUAGAGUUAUACACUCUCAGUAGCUGUCAAGUUGAGAAUAGCAAUAUCUAUACAGGCAGGUUUUUCUCCAGAGUUUUGGCAAUCAUGUACAUACUUACCAUUGACUGCAUCUUAAAACAUACUAACCUCUAUUCUGUAUUGUAUUAGUUUCUUUGUGGAGGUUACCUUCUGAGGUUUGCCAAAUGUAGUGUAGUGCAGUCUGGCUAAUCCCUAGUGCUUCCAAUUAGUUGUCAUCCUAGGGCUUCCAUUCUUUUAAUAAAAAGUUUCAAGUGUUUUACA